CCUACGGGAGGCAGCAGUGAGGAAUAUUGGUCAAUGGGCGCGAGCCUGAACCAGCCAAGUAGCGUGCAGGAUGACGGCCCUAUGGGUUGUAAACUGCUUUUAUGCGGGGAUAAAGUGCAGCACGUGUGCUGUUUUGUAGGUACCGCAUGAAUAAGGACCGGCUAAUUCCGUGCCAGCAGCCGCGGUAAU
rnacentral:rRNA from 1 species